GACGGAGGAUGCAAGUGUAGUCCGGAAUCACUGGGCGUAAAGCGUCUGUAGGUGGUCAAAUAAGUCAACUGUUAAAUCUUGAGGCUCAACCUCAAAAUCGCAGUCGAAACUAUUCGACUAGAGUAUAGUAGGGGUAAAGGGAAUUUCCAGUGGAGCGGUGAAAUGCGUAGAGAUUGGAAAGAACACCGUUGGCGAAGGCACUUUACUGGGCUAUUACUAACACUGAGAGACGAAAGCUAGGGUAGCAAAUGGG
rnacentral:rRNA from 1 species